rnacentral:tRNA from 1 species
GCGCCUGUAGUUCAAUGGUAGAACCGUAGCCUUCCAAGCUACUAGCGUCAGUUCGAUUCUGACCAGGCGCU